rnacentral:rRNA from 1 species
UACGGGGGGGGCGAGCGUUGUUCGGAAUUAUUGGGCGUAAAGGGCGCGUAGGCGGUGUGGCAAGUCAGGUGUGAAACCUCCAGGCUCAACUUGGAGCUUGCAUCUGAAACUGCCGUGCUAGAGUGUGGGAGAGGAGAGUGGAAUUCCUGGUGUAGCGGUGAAAUGCGUAGAUAUUCGCAAGAACACCAGUGGCGAAGGCGGCUCACUGGCCCGGUACUGACGCUGAGGUGCGAAAGCGUGGGGAGCAAACAGG